CCUACGGGAGGCAGCAGUGGGGAAUAUUGGACAAUGGGCGAAAGCCUGAUCCAGCAAUGCCGCGUGAGUGAUGAAGGCCUUAGGGUUGUAAAGCUCUUUUACCCGGGAUGAUAAUGACAGUACCGGGAGAAUAAGCUCCGGCUAACUCCGGC
rnacentral:rRNA from 1 species